GUCAUCCUGAUGGAUAGAGCAGCAGGAAUGAUUUAGGUUGCUGCGGACGAUCCAAUGAGAAUCCAGAGAGCAGCGCUUCGGAAAUCCUACCCGGAUCUCCCCACAUUCAGUUCUUUAAGAGUUACCUGCGCAGGGAACAUUGUCAUUAGGAUUAGUAGUAUUCCUUCAGUAGCUUUCCCAGAAACGCUUGUCCCCCUCAGCAACUGAGGGAGGCGCAGUAAGGAAGCCCGGCACACCACAUAACCCACCAGGACCGGUCGGUUGUCACAUUAUGAUAAUCAGAUCGUCCGCGGUUUAGCAUUGGCGGGGGCUGGGGGACAGAUGGGACGGAGGUGCGGAUUGAGGCUGAUCGCUGGACGCUUUCCGGGGCUCUGCCCAGGGACAGCGAGCCUGGCUUAGAUGAGGUGGCGGCGCCCUCCGUGGUCCCUGGCGAAUCCUGCUGCCUGCCACUCAAGGCACUGCCUUCGCUCCCAAGCCUCCGCUCCAAACGCCUGGCUGGGAAGCGGGUGCUUCUGCGGACCGUCCUGGUCCUGGGGGAAAAGGAGGAGGCUGUGGGGAGUCUCUUGCUCCCCUGAACACUUAGGGACCUGAGAGAAGCAGUGCAGAGAUGGUUUUGCUAUGGAAAGCAUUGGCUUGCCGUUUGCAUGUCCAGAUACUGCAUAAAAGAUCACCUGAUCGAUCCUCCGAAAUAGGAUGGAAAGGUACGGUGGAAAUUGAUUUCUUGCAGAAACCGAGUCACUGAAUGAUAGAGGAAACAAACAUUUGUCCUGGAUAAAAGUGGUCUUGGUGGUGUUCCAGCCGUAGUGCUGUGACAGAGUAGAACUUUGUGUUCAGCUGUCCCCUUUACCAAGAGGCUGGAUGAUUUCUGUUACAGAGGCUGACAAAUGAUGCCAAGAGCAGCUGAGGCCACAGAUGAAGAAUCAGCAUCUUGUGAUACAUUUAGUUCAAAUACAGCUCAACAGUCAUGGAACAGAGACAGCACACUUUUCAUAUAAAAUCAUGAUAUGCUGUUCAGUGUAUCUACCUAGUUUACUGUUCAAAGAACUAUACUGGUUUGUUGACUUAAAUUAUUGACAUGUUUUCUGAAUUCAAUUAGAAAAUGUAGCAGUAAAAUGUUAUCUCAUAGCCAUGCAUAAAAUUUUAACAUUUCAGGAAGCUGAGGCAAGAGCUUGAGUCCAAACUAGGCUACAUAGUGAUUACAAAUAUAUACAUAUCUUAAAUAUGUGGAAAAGAACAUGAUAAAAAUAUUGACUUUGGGGGACAGGAAAAAUGGCUCAGCAGUUAAGGCAUUUUCCAGUGAAACCUAAGGAACCUGGUUCAAUUUCUCAGGACACACGUAAGCCAGAUGUUGCAGUGGCUGGAGGUCCUGACAUGCAUAUUCUUUCUUUC